rnacentral:rRNA from 1 species
CACGUAGGGGGCGAGCGUUGUCCGGAUUUAUUGGGCGUAAAGGGCUCGUAGGCGGCUCAGUAAGUCGGGUGUGAAACCUCCAGGCUCAACCUGGAGACGCCACUCGAUACUGCUGUGGCUAGAGUCCGGUAGGGGAGCAUGGAAUUCCUGGUGUAGCGGUGAAAUGCGCAGAUAUCGUAAGGAAGACCAGUGGUGAAGGCGGGUCUCUGGACAGUUCCUGACGCUGAGGCACGAAGGCCAGGGGAGCAAACGGG